UCAAAGCGAAGCUCCAAGUACGGAAGAAAUAGCUUUAUCAGUAGGAGUUCUUUGGAAGAAGAACGUUUAUCAGUGUCCUUUGGCUGGGUUUGAGAGAGAGAGGGUGAGACGGUGACCCUCUUUUGCUUUUUCAAGCUAUAAAUGUAAAGAUCAAGUUGAAAAGUGAAAGGGACAAAAUGGUAUGAAGUGCUUUUUAAGAUCAUAUUAUAUGAAAGAUGUAUGACAUGUGUGGAUAAUGAAUGACUUGCAAGGUAUGCAAUCUGAACCUCCACAGAGUACAAAAGGUCAUACCUAAUAAGAGAAAUGAGCCCAUGUGGUGCUUCAUUCUACGAUAUAUAUAAGAUCCAUCUGUAUAGAUAUCAUCGGCGGGUAAAUCUAAUUCAAUCGGUAAAUCCAUCUCAGGAGUAAGCUGCUCCGUUGUGGCCACUUCUGUACAUGUACCGGCUUGAGCAGCCGAAAUAUUGAUACUGGGAGAUUGGGGAUUUUCGACAUCAUUAUUUAAAGAAAAUUUGAUAGUUAAAAAUCACUUUUGAUCAUCUUAGGGGAAAAUGCACGAGUUGCGCACAAAGACUUAAAUUUAAUAUUACAAAUUGGAAUUGGAAAGAAUGGGAAUUCAUUACUCUUUUAUGCAUAUUGACUAUCGAAGUAUGUUCUACUUUGGACUUGGUCAUGCGCUCAGAAUGUAGAACUCAAAUGGGCCUUCCAAUCCUAUGGAUCUUAGUUGCCCGGAAUAUGAGUUAUGUUUUUCCCGUUUUUGUUGGAAAGUAUCUUUCACUUUCAUUGGCAUGUAUGAUUCACUUCACAGUCAAUUUUUUUCUUCUUGACAGAAAGCAUUCCAUCCUUCCCUUCCUUCAUUGAUUGAUUCUACACCGACUGGAAUUGGAAUGACCUGGCUACGACCGAUGGGAUUGGUUCGCUGGCAAAGGCCCCAUUGCUGGAAAGGUUCGGCUUCAAAACCGUACGUGGAGCUUCUGCCUCAUACGACUCCUCUAGGGAUGGAGGUAGGCCCAAUCCAGACUUGUGCGAUUAAAGUUGUUGUACACGACUUCAUAAGAAAAAAAUAAAAAAACAAUGUUUUCAUCUUUUGGUCUUUGAAUCCGAUCUACUAUAUCAUCUUCCAGUUCAAUUGAGGUCUUGUCAUUGAUUACAAUUGAGAAUUCGUGCUUAUUAUUUUCUUGAUAAUCUACAACGAAAUACAAUUAAUCAAAUUGAAAUGUGAAAGAUUUGAAAUUAUAUGCCCAUCGUAGCUGUAUAAAAGAUGGAUCUUGAUAGUGAAAGUGAGAAGAAGUGACAGGUCCAAGAGGGAAUUCAUGGUGGUAGACGAUAUAUAUAUGUCAAUAAGGUGUUAAU
rnacentral:lncRNA from 1 species